rnacentral:rRNA from 1 species
CCUACGGGUGGCUGCAGUGGGGAAUAUUGCGCAAUGGGCGAAAGCCUGACGCAGCGACGCCGCGUGAGGGAUGAAGGUCUUCGGAUCGUAAACCUCUUUUGUCGGGGAGCAAAAGCCGGACGUGUCCGGCUGUGAGAGUACCCGAAGAAAAAGCAUCGGCUAACUCCGUGCCAGCAGCCGCGGUAAUACGGAGGAUGCGAGCGUUAUCCGGAUUUAUUGGGUUUAAAGGGUGCGCAGGCGGAUUUUUAAGUCAGCGGUCAAAUCGUGGGGCUCAACCCCAUCCAGCCGUUGAAACUGGGGAUCUAGAGUGUGCGAGAGGUAUGCGGAAUGCGUGGUGUAGCGGUGAAAUGCAUAGAUAUCACGCAGAACCCCGAUUGCGAAGGCAGCAUACCGGUGCACAACUGACGCUCAGGCACGAAAGCGUGGGUAUCGAACAGGAUUAGAUACCCUGGUAGUC